AGGCAGAGUCUUUAGGCUAGUCCUUAUGUGUGUUCACCUGCACUGUGGAUUUAAACAUUUUAAAGUACUUAUAAAAUAAUGAUCUUUUUUUUAGGGGGAACUUAUACAUGAAAAAUUCACAUUUAACAGGAACAUUUUGGUACUGACAAAACUAAUGUGGAGUUACCCAGAAUGCCUAGCUGUAUUGUUCAUUAGUGCAUAGUGAAGUGUAAAAAGCCGCGUUGCUGAAGGCUGUGAAUCAGGCUGGUCUCAUGACUGCCACAAUUCUCUAUUCACUCUUUGUUUGUUUGCCUGCAGGUUAAAUUUGCUCUCGAUAACAAGUAUAAAAGAAGACCAUCUUCUCCUUUCUAGCAGAGAGACUAUUUACAGUUACAGAACUGCUUUGGUUGAUACAGAAUACUUUAGAUAAACUAAAAGACAGGGGAAAUAGGCAAGCAUUAGAAAAAAAAAAAAAAAAAAAAACAAUGGCAGACUAUCAGGAAACAGAAUGACAAGGUAGUGGUUGAACAUCAUAUAGUUGUCUUUCUUGUAGUAUUUUGUGCUAAGUAGCAGGAAAAUCAGGGUUGGAAGUGAAAAAUUCCGUUUUAGUUGUCUUCUUUCUGCUAGCAUUGUUAAGUGUUUGACCGUGUGCUUUUGUACACUGGCAGAGAAGAUGAGUAAGUGUAAGAAAGAGUUGAGUGAGAGAGAGAGAGAGUUGAGUGAGAGAGAGAGAGAACGGCUGCUCAUCCGCAGGGCCAGCGGAGCCAACGCCUCUCAGCUGGCUCAUAUGGAAAAGAUGCUACAAGAAACCAAAGGCCUGCUGGAGAAGAAGACAGAGACGGAUUCAGAAAGCAAAGCCUGUGGGGACACUAUGGUGUCUGAUCUGGAGCAGAAGGUCCAGCGCAGCAAGCGAGACCGUCGUAACUCUCUCCACCGCACACAGCUGCUGGAGAGUCAGAUGAAGACGGUUCGCGGCGAGCUGGUUGGCACGCUUGACCACCUGCAGGAGCUGCGCAACAUACUGCGACGCUCGCAGCAGAACGCAGAAGAGCGGGACGCAGCCAUGCAAAAACUAGCUGCAGGGCUGAGGAUUCGUUUUGUAAGACCACAGAUUGUGUAUAAUGUCUUGUAGCUUUGAGUUGUUUCAUAUGUGAUACCUGCAAGAUCCAACAUUCCUUAAUAUGAAUGCUUUAGUCCUGUAUACUCAGAGACUCAACUGCUUUUAUCGUUUAAUUUAAUAUAUUGUUUAUUCCUUUUACAUGAUCUGCAAUAUUACAUGCUGUUUCAACAUUAAUAUUAAUCCCCAAUUCACCAAGUAAUGCUGAUGUAGAAUGUUUGUGUCUGGAUACUCAUUAAAAUAUCCAUAUGUCCUCCAGGUUGUACUUUAUGAAAAGAAAACAGAAACAUUAUAUCCAUUUCAGUUGUGGAUUUCCUCCACGUAUCCUAAAGAUCACUUUUUCAUGUUGCUUUCGGGAGUUUUAGUAUAAGAUUGAAUUUUAAAUCUACUUUUCUUUCCUCCACUUUGAGUGAAGUUCUCUCAAACUUUGUGUCCUCAUGCCACCCUUGUAAGUGAGAUAUAACACCACUGAUCUGCCCUCACUCACCUUACGUUGAAAGGGUAAUGGCCACAUUUUAUUAACUUAAGUAAAAUAUUGGCCAUGUUGUACAUGUUGUUUAAAUGAGGCUUUUAAGAUCAGGAAUUGAAUGUAUUGCAGAGGAGGAAAAAAUGGUAAAUCACCUUGUCCUUUGGAUUUAAGAGAAUGAGAUUAAACAUUCAGAGGAGGACCUGCAAACAAUGAAGGAAUGAGAGAUACAAAAAAAAUCUAGACUGCUUUGAACCUCCUCUCCACUCAUCCAGAACCUCUACGUACUAUCAGCAACACCAGACACCACUGUUCAUGCUGAUACACGUUGAAAAUCAUGCAGCAAACAUGCAAGAAAUUUAUUCAUUGUGAAAGACUGCAUUUAGAGUGGAGGAGAGCACUAAAGUAUAUCUGGUAUACAACAUCACAGCACACAAUUAUGGGAUGUUUUGUUUAUUAUUAUUAUUAUUAUUAUUUUAUGUAUAUAAUGUGGAUCUAAAGCACUUAGAUUGAAUCUACACUCUAAGUGUACAUUUUGUCAAUUAUAUGCCUCUUACGUGUAUUCCGUGGUGUCUUUUUUAACCUUUUUUUUUUUUUUUUUUUUUUUACAUUUUUAAUUAAUUAAUUUAAUUUAAAUAAUAGAUAUAUCAUUCAAACAUUUUCUUAAUUAACCUCACAAUUGCUGGGGGACCUGUGUCCUGCCUCACACAUCCACUUAAAAUGACCACGGCCAAGUAGAUGUAGCGAAUAGUUUGAUCAGAGAAGCAUUAACAUUUGUUUGCAAAUACCAUGUUACACGUCUAUGCUUCAUUACGUUUUGAGUUUUGUCUUCCUUGUCUUGUGACCUAGUUUUCCUAAGUUGUUUGAUUAGUUAUCAUGUCCACCUGAUGUCAAUUAAUGAACUCGUUAUUUCCCUUUGUUUGCCUUGUGUAUUUACGCCCUGUGUUAUCUCCUUCUGUUUGUCUGUGUUUGAAAGGUUGUUGUUAGUGGCUUUCCUGAGUUUAUGUAGUUUAAAGUUUGUCCUUUGGAGUAUGCAUGUUUCUAUACUAAUACGUGACAACCACUUGGAUUUUUUUUAAUUUUUAUUAUUAUUAAAUAUGAUGACAUUAUACAUAAGUGGGGGCUUAAGUGUCCAAAUGCUCUUUGGGGCCAGUUUAUGAGUCUGUUUGUUGACUUUGUAAUUUCUACUUCUAGUCAAGACUCAGAAUGACUGCUAUGUGGCCAUUACUAAAUGCCCCAGACAACUCUAAAUUAUAAACCCAAGGCACUUUGGUUAUGUGACUUUAUAUGAUCACAAUCAGGCUGUUGUAGCAUGUUUUUUUUUUUUUUUAAAUUAGAUGCACAAUUGUUCUGUUCUGUCCAAGAAAAGAGAUGUCAUGCUCUCUUAGGAGCACAGGACUUGUGUCUCUCAGAUUAGCAUCAAAACAAACCACACAAUCUGUUAUAUAAGCAGCUUUUCCCAGCCUGUUUGAUAACUGUUUACAUUAAGUUAGUAUGGUUUGCUUUGUUGUAAACAGACUGCAAUGCAUUGUAAUAGUUACAUUAUUCAAAGAUGUUUUGGUAAAGAGCAAGUACGAUCCUGUUUUGCUUGACAGAACACCUCAAAUAAAGAUUGAUGAAACUUUAGUGUGUCCCUAGUU
ensembl:lncRNA